GUGUUACCAACAAAUGAUUCAUUAACAAAAGCAAUGGAGCAGACUGUUUAGGCUCUUGUGGUUGUAAUAACAUCCAUAACUGCAAGUUUGUCAUUAAUUUAUUUUCACAGGUCUAGAUGAUCACAUUUGACUUUGUCAUUUAAAUGAGGUGGACUUGCAAACUUUGCGCUCUUUGGGGUAAAUUGCUGUCCACUACAUAUACACAGAAUCUGCACAGUAUUUCAGAUCUAAAAAGGGAGUAUGUAAUGGACUUGCUGGCUUUAAUGUAAAAAGCCUGUUGUGUAACUUUAAUGAGGCAGUUGGACUAAAACAGUGUUGCUCAUCAAGGUAAACAUCUGAGGAAUAAGGAAACUGUUACUUGUCCUUUUACUCAGUGUUCUUUUAAUCGCACGUUUACUAAAGUUUUACAUCACAUAAGUCAUUUUCACAAUCAUUCUACUUUAAAAGAUUUCAAGACAGAGCUUAUUGUUCUCUGAACUUCUUGUUUGCUGAACGGCAGGUAAAGUGCAUCUUUUUAUUUGUUUGCUUUUGUGUGUUUGUGUUUUCUCUAAUGGGCCUCAGAUGACCGUUUGCUUAAAUUUGGGUCUCAAAGAAUCUUUUUUUAAUUCUGCCUGUACUCUCCACCCCUCUUCUUCUAUUGCUCAGGUUGAAGCAGAAUUUGCCCGUCUUACAUCUGUUGACCUGAAAGGGUUCCUUUUUGCUGUGCUUGACCAUUAUGGAGAGGUUCGUGGAGCUGUACAAAAUCAAGAGCAGCAUAGAAGGGCUAACUAGGCUCAUAAGAUGCUUCGGAGAUGAUAGCCCUACACAAAGGAAGAGGACAGAGGACCUCAUUUUCUAAAGGAAGAUCCCUCACACACUUUCAAGACUGUGAAGCCGACAGGUAUUGAAGACACGUUUUCUAAGAGGACGAAAGUUGGCAUUGCGAUGGUGAAAGAAGAAGACAUCGAUGUGUUGGUUGUCCUUGAGGCAGCAGUAAUCCUGUCUAAUCUGAGGGAUGUCUCAAGUGCCAUUUCCAUGC